CUACGAAAGGUGCAAGCGUUGUUCGGAUUUACUGGGCGUAAAGAGAUCGUAGGUGGUUUGUUAAGUCGGAUGUGAAAUCCCGAGGCUCAACCUCGGAACUGCAUUCGAUACUGGCAGACUAGAGUUCGGGAGGGGUAAGCGGAAUUCCGUGUGUAGCAGUGAAAUGCGUAGAUAUACGGAGGAACACCUGAGGCGAAGGCGGCUUACUGGACCGAUACUGACACUGAGGAUCGAAAGCGUGGGUAGCAAACAGGAUUAGAAACCCCAGUAGUCC
rnacentral:rRNA from 1 species